rnacentral:rRNA from 1 species
AUGAGUCAAUGUUUCGUGCAUGUUUGCACGAUCAGUCGUCGUUGCGUCUGUGAGUCGUCAUCGUGUCCAAGUGCUCGUCUCAGUAUGGACUCGUUGGAGUGGAAGCGAUGUGCACGGUGUUCCGUGAGUCAUGUCCAUGUCCUCGUGGAGCGUUCUGGUUGCGGCCAGUGUGAAUUUGGUGUGAUGCCGAAGGAGGACGGUGGUAGACAUAACCAUCGUAGAGCGAGGAGGUGUGCGAGCAAUGGAGAGUGGAUCUAUUGCAGGCAAGUACAAGGAGUAUGGUGCGGACCGAGUGCAAGGCAGUGGCCAAGCAACGGCGGUGGCACAACAUUGUAG